UAUCUCUGUAGAGUCUGCAUAUCAAUAAGCGGAGGAAAAGAAACUAACUAGGAUUCCCUCAGUAACGGCGAGUGAAGCGGGAAGAGCUCAAAUUUGAAAUCUUCAAGGUUCUACCUUGACGAAUUGUAGUUUAAAGAAGUGUUUUCUGUUGGAGUUUUGGUAAAAGUUCUUUGGAAUAGGACAUCAUAGAGGGUGAGAAUCCCGUAUUUGACCAUUAUUUCCAGCUUUGUGAUACACUUUCAAAGAGUCGGAUUGUUUGGGAAUGCAGUCCAAAAUGGGUGGUAAGUUUCAUCUAAAGCUAAAUAUUGGCGAGAGACCGAUAGCGAACAAGUACCGUGAGGGAAAGAUGAAAAGAACUUUGAAAAGAGAGUUAAACAGUACGUGAAAUUGUCAAAAGGGAAGCGUUUGACACCAGUGUUGUUUUCUCGAAAAUCAAUUAAAAAAGGCAGGAUUUUGUGUUGUAUUGACUUUAUCAGCUUUCUGCACUCUUUUCUUGUCUUUUUUAAUGCACUUUUCGUUUAACAAGUCAACAUCAAUUUCUUUUGUUGUAAAAGGGUCAUUGGAAGGUGGCUUUCUUUUCGGAGAAAGUGUUUAUAGCCUUUGGCCUCUGCAAUCGGAGAGAUUGAGGUCUGCAGCGUAGAUCCUUCGGGGUUAGAUACAUUUGUGCUAAGUUAUAGCCUUUCAUAGACAACUUGUUGACUAUGAUCAGUCAUGUAGCUUACUCGCUUAUGUUAUUUUACCUACGCUUAGGAUGUUGACGAUCAGCUGAGCGCG
rnacentral:rRNA from 1 species